AAGCUCGUAGUUGAAUUUCGGGGUUAGUAGGUUGGUCAUGCCUCUGGUAUGUACUGGUCUCACUGAUUCCUCCUUCCUGAUGAACCGUAAUGCCAUUAAUUUGGUGUUGCGGGGAAUUUGGACUGUUACUUUGAAAAAAUUAGAGUGUUUAAAGCAAGCUAACGCUUGAAUACAUUAGCAUGGAAUAAUGAAAUAGGACGUUCGAUCCUAUUUUGUUGGUUUCCAGGAUUGACGUAAUGAUUAAUAGGGAUAGUUGGGGGCAUUAGUAUUCAAUUGUCAGAGGUGAAAUUCUUGGAUUUAUUGAAGACUAACUACUGCGAAAGCAUUUGCCAAGGAUGUUUUCAUUAAUCAAGAACGAAAGUUAGGGGAUCGAAGACGAUCAGAUACCGUCGUAGUCUUAACCAUAAACUAUGCCGACUAGGGAUCGGAUGAUGUUAAUUUUUUAAUGACUCAUUCGGCGCCUUACGGGAAACCAAAGUGUUUGGGUUCCGGGGGGAGUAUGGUCGCAAGGCUGAAACUUAAAGGAAUUGACGGAAGGGCACCACCAGGGGUGGAGCCUGCGGCUUAAUUUGACUCAACACGGGGAAA
rnacentral:rRNA from 1 species